GUGAACGCUGGCGGUAGGCCUAACACAUGCAAGUCGAACGGCAGCACAGUAAGAGCUUGCUCUUACGGGUGGCGAGUGGCGGACGGGUGAGGAAUACAUCGGAAUCUACUUUUUCGUGGGGGAUAACGUAGGGAAACUUACGCUAAUGCCGCAUACGACCUACGGGUGAAAGCAGGGGAUCUUCGGACCUUGCGCGAUUGAAUGAGCCGAUGUCGGAUUAGCUAGUUGGCGGGGUAAAGGCCCACCAAGGCGACGAUCCGUAGCUGGUCUGAGAGGAUGAUCAGCCACACUGGAACUGAGACACGGUCCAGACUCCUACGGGAGGCAGCAGUGGGGAAUAUUGGACAAUGGGCGCAAGCCUGAUCCAGCCAUACCGCGUGGGUGAAGAAGGCCUUCGGGUUGUAAAGCCCUUUUGUUGGGAAAGAAAAGCAGCAGGUUAAUACCCCGCUGUUCUGACGGUACCCAAAGAAUAAGCACCGGCUAACUUCGUG
rnacentral:rRNA from 1 species